ensembl:lncRNA
AAAGCUGCUUUUUCUAGAAAGAAUUAAACUAAGGAAGGAAAAGCAUGUAUUUUUUUCUUAGUGGAUGAAAUGUCUUUAUGACUUAUUUUUUUGAGACAGGGUUUCUCUGUGUAAAAGCACUGGCUGUCCUGGAACUCACUCUGUAGACCAGGCUGGUCUUGAGCUCAUGGAGAUCUACCUGCCACUGCCUAAGGAGUGCUCUUGCCACCACUGCUGUGUUGAAAUGUCUUUGUCAACGUUUUUAAUGUUAUUUUUUCUUCAUGUGCAAAAGACAUUCCAAAGUCAGCUCCUGGAAAUUGAAGUCAUCACCCUGAAAAUGCGAAUUUCAAAUGCAAGCUAAUCUUUGUCAGCGGGAAUGUAGUCACAGCUCUUUGGGGCCUCUAACAGGAUUUAAGAGGACGGAGAAAAGGAUGGUAAUAGCACGGAGCUGGCUGCCUGGAAGGACAUCUGACUAGCAGAUGCUUUGGCUGUGAGGUUGAGCAGCCAGGUGUGUGGCCGGUGUGCCCCUGCACAGUACUUGAGUCCAGCUUCACCCCACGUGUCAGCAUUGCAAAUGCUCAUGGAGCCACACACAGACGUUAAGCCGAUCCGAUGGCAGCAAGGUGUGUGGCAAUGUGAUCACGAUUCAUCCCCCUCCCCCCCCACACACAUAGCUAGGCGUUGUUCUAGAACCACUGGAGGGCGUGUCUGAAAGGUGUGCCUUUAGUUCCUAUCUCAAUCAUAAAACUUUUCAAUGUGGUUGACAUUUCAGCCUCUGAUCCUAGUUCAAGGGUGCUUUUCUUGUGCCCAGGGGAAAGUUGCUCUAAGUAACAGUUGCAAGGCAUCUGUGUACAGCGUGUGGGUGUCCCCAGAUAAGGUUUCCGAGCCUUUCCUGAAGCAGGCCCUCUUCACCCACAGCUCUUGGCAUCCCUCCCUCUUGGCCAGCCAUCUGGCCAGGGACCAGCUUCCCAAAUCUGCCUUGGCAACUAGCUCAGCUCUUGCCCAGGAGGCUGUUUGCAAUAACUCCUAACUGAGCAGAUUAGAUACACUUCUUGCAGGUCCUUGGAAAGGCCAGGGAGAAAGAAGGCUGUGUCCAGACGACCUGCUGCAGAGAGACACUUUCUUAAGCCAGAGCCCCUUGAAAGGAAUGAUCAGCGCCACCAGUACCCCAUUCUCCUACUUUCCUUUUUACACCGGACUUGUGAAAAUUCUCAAGGCCCUGCACCUACCUUGAGCACCAAGUGACUAAGUGAAAGGAGCAAGACUUUUAAUGUCACCUAUCUCCACCAGUGACUGCGUACACGUGUGAACAAGGAAAAGGCGACCUCUCUUGAGUUUUCCCGACUCCUCUUAUCUCCUAGGAGACACGAGGGCAUCCUGGGUCACUGAGCAUUGCCUGGUUCGCACAGGCUCCAGUCCGUCCCCAUCCUUCCUGGAUAACCAAGCCACCACGUCCCGCAGCGCCCGAAACACACUUUGGCCAGAAACCCCCUCUUCCCGUGAAGUUGUGCUCGCAUUCUAACCACCGCACCAACAGUAAGUAACCCGCGUCCACCUAAACCCAGGCAGAGCCGCCUCCCCAAGGUAAGCUGUUUACUCGUCGCCGUCCUGGCGAUCCUCCCUGGACAGCUGCGGCAGCGACAGCAGCUGCGCCGCGGCCCCGAGCGCUGGGCACUCCUCCUUCCUCCCUCCCGGGUCUCCGAUCUCACUCCUGCAGGCCACUCGCACACGGGCAGCCGUCACCACACACCCGGGAGUGUGCGCGGGGACCCAGGGGGGUGGGCAGGCGUGGCGGCACGCAGCAGCCCAGCUCCUGCCGGCCCGUGCUCCCGGCCCAGCCUCCCUCCUCUCUGCCCACCUCUGUGACACCUGAGCGGCCACUGGGCGGUGGGGGUUGCAGGCCCGCGGGACCGAGUGGCACCCCGGAGAAAACAGAGCAGGGGGCGGGACGGCAGCACAGACCACCGCCUUAGCGGUGAGGAGCGCGCGCCGCAGCCUAUGAGCUUGUGAGAGCAGGGCGUGGGGGCGGGCCCGGGGGCGGGCCCCGAGGAGGAGGCGG